GACGAACGCUGGCGGCGUGCUUAACACAUGCAAUUCGAACGGAAAGGCCCUGCUUUUGUGGGGUGCUCGAGUGGCGAACGGGUGAGUAACACGUUAGUAACCUUCCCUUUACUUUGGGAUAACUUCAGGAAACUGGGGCUAAUACCGGAUAGGAGCUCCUGCUGCAUGGUGGGGGUUGGAAAGUUUCGGCGGUUGGGGAUGGACUCGCGGCUUAUCAGCUUGUUGGUGGGGUAGUGGCUUACCAAGGCUUUGACGGGUAGCCGGCCUGAGAGGGUGACCGGCCACAUUGGGACUGAGAUACGGCCCAGACUGCUACGGGAGGCAGCAGUGGGGAAUAUUGCACAAUGGGCGGAAGCCUGAUGCAGAAACGCCGCGUGCGGGAUGACGGCCUUCGGGUUGUAAACCGAUUUCGACUGUGACGAGGCGUGAGUGACGGUAAUGGGUAAAGAAGCACCGGCUAACUACGUG
rnacentral:rRNA from 1 species